UGGGGAAUAUUGCACAAUGGGCGCAAGCCUGAUGCAGCCAUGCCGCGUGUAUGAAGAAGGCCUUCGGGUUGUAAAGUACUUUCAGUCGGGAGGAAGGUGGUAAGGUUAAUAACCUUAUCAAUUGACGUUACCGACAGAAGAAGCACCGGCUAACUCCGUGCCAGCAGCCGCGGUAAUACGGAGGGUGCAAGCGUUAAUCGGAAUUACUGGGCGUAAAGCGCACGCAGGCGGUUGAUUGAGUCAGAUGUGAAAUCCCCGGGCUUAACCCGGGAAUUGCAUCUUGUACUAGUCAUCUCGAGUCUUGUAGAGGUAGGUAGAAUUCCAUGUGUAGCUGUGAAAUGCGUAGAGAUGUGGAGGAAUACCGGUGGCGAAGGCGGCCCCCUGGACAAAGACUGACACUCAGGUGCGAAAGCGUGGGGAGCAAACAGG
rnacentral:rRNA from 1 species